ACUCAGAUUUUCCAACUACACACCCUAUACUAAUUAUAUGUGAGAAGAUUGAUGUAGAUAUGAAAACGAAUGCUCACAUAUAUGUAUCACAAAGAAAGCAAUUUUUGGAGUUAAUAAGCAUGUUUAGAUAUGAUCUCAUGAAUGGAAUGCUAUUACUUAGACGCGAGAACCAGUGACACCAUAUGCUCAUACCAAAUUCAAACUCCACAAAUUGAAACACAUAACACUCAAGAUUGAAGUCAAAGGUUGUAACGGGCUUAGGGUGUUGGCUAACAAAUGAAGGAUAGGGAUAACAAACAUUCUUAAAGCAAUAGCAAGAAAAGUAAUGAAAUAGAAACUUAGAAUUCACUUAGAUUGCAGUAAUCAACUUUUAACACGAAGGGAAGAUUCAAGCAAUAUUUAGGGCCGAAUUCAAUGUUUUGGACCCUUUCUUCAACAAGCAACACUUUAAAACUCUUUUUCACAUAUUUUUCAACUCCUUUUCUCUUCACAGCUUUUCUUCUUUUCAUUCUAUUUUUCACGAAUCUUUCUUUUCUACUCGUGCCUUAUGAAUGAUUUUGGCAUACACACACACAAGAAUCACUUCCCCCACACUUGUUUUCUGCCAUACAUUAAUCAAAAGGAAUUCAAUUUGACUCAUACUUUACUAUGCUUCAAGAACAAGGGUAUGGAUGGUCCUAAACUAGGCUAGGUAAGGAUAAUGUGGUUUAACAAAGAAUGUAGGCUAUCAAGGCUCAUUGGGGUUAACUUAAACAUAUAACGAUAUGGGAUACAUGGCAGUUUGGCUUUGGUG
rnacentral:lncRNA from 1 species